GCUGGGCGUGGUGGCGCGUGCCUGUAAUCCCAGCUACUCGGGAGGCUGAGGCAGGAGAAUUGCUUGAACCUGGGAGGCAGGGGUUGCAGUGAGUCGAGAUCUUGCCACUGCUCUCCAGCCUUGGUGACAGAGCAAGACUUCGUCUCAA
rnacentral:sRNA from 1 species